AAAAAAAAAAAAAUAUCUAACUUCUUAAAGUAAGAUAUUUUAGAUUAAGGUAGUUCAAUUUCAAAGAGAUUAUACGUCUGUCGACUGUCGGGUAUAUUUUGGAUUACAAUAUGUUAUACUUCUUUUUGAAUAUGCUAAAACUUAAAAAUAUUAUAUUAUCUAUUAUGUUAACUUCUUUUGCAAUGAUGUUAAAUUGUUUUUUUUUUGAGAAAGGGUUUAAUUAUGUUAAGAGGUUUGUGGCGGGAAAUGGCGAGAGUUUGAGAAGGAAACGGGAAAGAGGCGAGAGGGCGAAGUUGAAGGCAAGAGGACAUGACAUUAAGAUUUUUCUCGAAAAUGUCGUCUCUCGACCUCUGUACUUGUGUGACUAUGUGAGUGUGAGUCGAAAAGAUUGUUAUUAUUUGGUUGUGCUAUCUGUGGAGUUAUUUUCUUAUUUGUUUUUGUUUGUUUAAUACUGUUGGUUUAGGUUACGUUAAGUGUUUAACUUUUUUCUGAAUAUUCCUUUUAAAUGUUUGCAGUUUGGACCAUUUGGAAGAUACCAUUACCACGGUUAUAUCACGGCUAUGAGAGGCACUUACAUGCCUUACACAGUGGAAAAAACUACACUUCUACCACGGUGCAUAUUCCAACCAGCUAUAGGCCCAACUCUUACUGAAACCAGAAAUCAAAUUUUAG
rnacentral:lncRNA from 1 species